UUGGCACAUAGGAUGGCUGUUUUGACCCAGAGACCCUCUGGCCAGUCUUGGGGACUAGACAGACCUUUAAGUUGAUCAUCUUGGAAUUGAACCAAGUGAUUAUUCCCACUUAUGGAACUGUGCCAGAUCAGCAAAACCUUCAUGCUCCAGACUGGGCUGAUUUUGAUAAUAAGCCUGACUCCUUGUUCUUCAGCGAUGGGCAGCGAAGAAUUGACUUUGUUUUGGUGUAUGAAGAUGAAACAAAAAUGACUCAUAAGAGGAGUAAUCAUAAAAAACAAAAG